CCCAGUGGUACGGAAUAGCUCAGGGAAACUUGGGGUAAUACCGUAUAAGCCCGAAAGGGGAAAGAUUUAUCGCCAUUGGAUGGGCCCGCGUCGGAUUAGCUAGUUGGUGAGGUAAUGGCUCACCAAGGCGACGAUCCGUAGCUGGUCUGAGAGGAUGAUCAGCCACACUGGGACUGAGACACGGCCCAGACUCCUACGGGAGGCAGCAGUGGGGAAUAUUGGACAAUGGGCGCAAGCCUGAUCCAGCCAUGCCGCGUGAGUGACGAAGGCCUUAGGGUUGUAAAGCUCUUUUGGCGGGGACGAUAAUGACGGUACCCGCAGAAUAAGCCCCGGCUAACUUCGUGCCAGCAGCCGCGGUAAUACGAAGGGGGCUAGCGUUGUUCGGAAUCACUGGGCGUAAAGCGCACGUAGGCGGAUUUGUAGUCAGGGGUGAAAUCCGGGGCUCAACCUCGGAACUGCCUUUGAUACUGCAAGUCUCGAGUCCGGAAGAGGUGAGUGGAAUUCCUAGUGUAGAGGUGAAAUUCGUAGAUAUUAAGG
rnacentral:rRNA from 1 species